GGCGGACCGACCAGAAGUUCGUGCUCUGAUGGCCGGGGAUGUGCAGAACUAGAGGAUGCGGAGCCGAUUGACAGCAGGCCUGAGAGAGAGAUCGAGCACUCACAGCCCAACAAAACAAUCAUCUGCUCUGCUGGAGUCAAGCAGCAGGUGCAGCUGGCAAUCUAACCUGCUGCUAGGUUUGCCAUCACCGUCCUUGGGUGACAAAACCAGAAAAAAGCAUUGAGAGGAUGGCCAUCUGUGAACCAGGAAGUGGAC
rnacentral:lncRNA from 1 species